CCUACGGGUGGCAGCAGUGGGGAAUAUUGGGCAAUGGAGGCAACUCUGACCCAGCAACGCCGCGUGAGUGAUGAAGGUCUUCGGAUUGUAAAACUCUUUAAGUGGGGACGAAGAAAGUGACUGUACCCACAGAAUAAGCCUCGGCUAACUACGUGCCAGCAGCCGCGGUAAUACGUAGGAGGCAAGCGUUAUCCGGAUUUACUGGGUGUAAAGGGAGCGUAGGCGGCUAAUCAAGUCAGAAGGGAAAACCCAGGGCUCAACUUUGGGACUGCUUUUGAAACUGAGUAGCUAGAGUGCAGGAGAGGUAAGCGGAAUUCCUAGUGUAGCGGUGAAAUGCGUAGAUAUUAGGAGGAACACCAGUGGCGAAGGCGGCUUACUGGACUGUAACUGACGUUGAGGCUCGAAAGCGUGGGGAGCAAACAGGAUUAGAUACCCCGGUAGUC
rnacentral:rRNA from 1 species